rnacentral:tRNA from 1 species
GGAGGUAUAGUUCAGCAGUAAAGCACCUGCCUAGCAAGCAAGAAUCCCUGAACUUAAGCUUCAGUACUACCA